GUGCUUGCUUCGGCAGCACAUACACUAAAACUGGAACAAUACAGAGAAGAUUAGCUUGGCCCUGCACAAGGAUGACACGCUAAUUCAUGAAGCAUUCCAUAUUUUU
ensembl:snRNA U6 U6 spliceosomal RNA